rnacentral:rRNA from 1 species
UAUACUUUAAAAAGUGUUUAAUUUGAGUAUUUUGGUUAAUUUGCCUUUUGCAUCAUGCUUUGAGGAUUAGAAAGUUAAUUCUGGAAACCGAAAAGUUUAGAUCUUGAAAUUAUUAGUUUUGAACUUUGAUAUUAAUUUAGGUAAAGUUAGGAAAAAUAGUUUUAUGUUGUGAAAAAUUAGUCGUUAAAUUUUAUAUCUGUUAAACUGCUUAAUAUUGUAAUUAUAUAAAUAGUUAUAAGAUUAUUUAUAAGGUUAUAUUAUGAGUUGGGUUUCAUGAAAAUUAGGUUAAAGGUACCUGUUUUUUAAAAGGUUGUUAUAAAGUUAAGAAUUUGGUGGAGAAAUUAAUUUUAUAGGCAGUUAAAUGUAAUAGUUAGUAGUUUAUAAUCUCAUAAUAAGUAGUUUUAUUAUACUAAUUAUUUCUAAGGGUCUUUCCGUCUGUUUAUUAAAAACAUUUCUAACUUUAAGAAUAGUUGGUAGUGCCUGCUCAGUGCUUUGGUAAAUAGCCGCAGUAUAUUGACUGUGCAAAGGUAGCAUAAUUAAUUGUCUUUUAAUUGGGGACUUGUUUGAAAGGUUUGACGUGAUAGAUUAUAAUAUUUAGUAUAUAAUUGAAAUUGAUAAUGUUGGUUCAGAAUCCGCAUGAUUUAAUAAGACGGAAAGACCCUGGGAUCUUUAAGUUUUGCUUGGGGCAAGUUUUAUUGUUUUAAUAAAAUUGAGACCCUUGUUGGUUUAAUGAGUUAAGUUACCCCAGGGAUAACAGAGUAAUAAUUAAUAAGAGAUCUUAUCGAGUUAAUUGUUUGCUACCUCGAUGUUGACUUAGGUUAUGCUUAGGUGCAGUAGUCUAGGCUUUAGGUCUGUUCGACCUAGAAACCUCCAUGAGUUGAGUUUAGACCGGCGUGAGCCAGGUCGGUUCUUAUCUAUUGUAGGAAUUUAUCAGUACGAAAGGACAGUAAAUUUUUUUAUU